rnacentral:tRNA from 1 species
UGGGGGAUAGUUUAAAGGUAGAAUAGCGGACUCUGAAUCCGUUGGUCUUGGUUCGAGUCCAAGUCCCCCAACCA